rnacentral:rRNA from 1 species
AACGCGAAGAACCUUACCUACCCUUGACAUGCCAGGAACCUCGCAGAGAUGUGAGGGUGCUCGAAAGAGAGCCUGGACACAGGUGCUGCAUGGCUGUCGUCAGCUCGUGUCGUGAGAUGUUGGGUUAAGUCCCGCAACGAGCGCAACCCUUGCCAUUAGUUGCUACAUUUAGUUGGGCACUCUAAUGGGACUGCCGGUGACAAACCGGAGGAAGGUGGGGAUGACGUCAAGUCCUCAUGGCCCUUAUGGGUAGGGCUUCACACGUCAUACAAUGGCGCAUACAGAGGGUUGCCAACCCGCGAGGGGGAGCCAAUCCCACAAAGUGCGUCGUAGUCCGGAUUGUAGUCUGCAACUCGACUACAUGAAGUCGGAAUCGCUAGUAAUCGCGGAUCAGCAUGUCGCGGUGAAUACGUUCCCGGGCCUUGUA